AUGUUUGUUUGUUUUUGUUUUAUUAUUUUUGCUUUUUCUUUCUCUUCUAAAAAUAUAGCGUCUUUGCACAUGAACUUCAGUCCACCCGACCCCCCCCCUUUCCACCCCCACAUUGCAGUUAAGGACUUGUCAGCCUUUGUCACUCUUGCCUUCAAAGUCCUCUACAAUGUAUAUUUAAUCUGCAUUUGCAGUUUUUCUUUUUAUACCUCCUCCACAAGCCUCCUCUUCAGCCAAACUCUGUUCUCCAACCUAGUGUUAACCACCUUUACUUCUGGAUCUUUCCAUAGGAUCCUCUGUGUUUCUGAAGUGUCUUCAUUUUGUGGUAAAAUUACUUAUUCUGCGAGACUAGUUGAAAGAAAUACCGCUAUCAUGAAAGUAUUUUUAAUUUUUUUCCUGAACAAAUGUGAUUUGGACUCUUCUUUCCUGAACUCUUUAUAUAUGCCACUGUUCUUCAUUUCCCAGCUAUUCCACAGUUGUAUAAUACUUCAGAUCCUCUUCGCAAGCUCAGUGCUUAACCUGACUGAACUGGCUGCCCUUCGACCUGACCUUGGGAAAUUGAAAAAGAUUCUGUACUUUCAUGAGAACCAGUUGGUAUAUCCUGUCAAGAAAUGUCAGGAGAGGGAUUUCCAAUAUGGAUACAACCAAAUUCUAUCCUGCCUGGUGGCUGAUGUGGUGGUAUUCAACUCGGUUUUUAAUAUGGAGUCAUUUCUCACUUCUAUUGGAAAAUUCAUGAAGUUGAUUCCUGAUCACAGACCCAAGGAUCUGGAAAGCAUCAUCAGACCCAAGUGCCAAGUUAUUUACUUUCCCAUCAGGUUUCCUGACGUGAGCAGAUUCAUGCCCAAGCACAAAGCAGCCCAUUUACAGAAGAUACUCAGCCUUAAAGAAAAUGGUGGCACUGCUCCAUCCACGGCCCUUCCUUUCCAACAGGAGCAGAGAGGUUCUGAGAAUUUAUUGAAGAGUUUUGAUUCAAAGUCUGGACUUGGUGAUGCUGCACAACAAGAAAGCCUGGGUUGCUCUGUAAGACAGGAGUCAUACUUGAAAACAUUCAACUCCUCAGAUGAUUCAAGCACACAUCAUGGGGAACGUAAACAAAAUCAGUGUGACAUUUUGGCUGAAGCUGAUGAUCAGCAAAGACCAUUACAUAUUGUCUGGCCUCACAGGUGGGAGCAUGAUAAAGAUCCAGAGAGUUUUUUUAAGGUAUUGAUGCAUCUUAAGGACUUAGGACUCAAUUUCCACGUAUCUGUCCUUGGAGAAACCUUCACAGAUGUCCCAGAUAUAUUUUCAGAAUCCAGAAAGGCAUUGGGAUCUUCUGUGUUGCACUGGGGCUACUUACCCAGCAAAGAUGACUAUUUCCAAGUACUGUGCAUGGCUGAUGUUGUCAUCUCAACAGCUAAGCAUGAAUUCUUUGGAGUGGCAAUGUUGGAAGCUGUGUAUUGUGGGUGUUACCCGCUUUGUCCCAAAGAUUUGGUUUAUCCCGAAAUAUUUCCAGCUGAAUAUCUGUAUUCUACACCUGAACAGCUUUCAAAAAGGCUCCAGAAUUUCUGCAAGAGACCAGAUAUUACAAGAAAACAUCUCUAUAAGGGUGAAAUGGCUCCUUUUUCUUGGGCAGCCCUACAUGGUAAAUUCAGGUCUCUGCUUACAGCAGAACCUAGGGAAGAUUUGUGACAGAUGGGGCUAAGUCACAAACUUGCAGCCUAAGGCAGAAUCUGUAGAACUUUCCAGAGUGUGCCCAUAUUUACCUGAUCAGAGAGAAAAGAAAAUCUGCAGAGGAAGCUGAGCCUGGCUGCUUGUCAUAGCUGACACAGAGCCAUCUGCCACAAACCUGUGGCGGCUUCAGAUCUCCAAUCCCUGCCACCACCCCAACUCAAAUUAAAUACAGAUUCCUAGAGACGUUAUGAUGGUUACACAUGUCCUCGGCAUCACAUGGAGGAGACUGUUCAAAAAAAAUAUGUGGCCUGUUGUAUAACCGCACUCAUGUAUCCCAUAUGUGGUGCCACAUUGAAUUUCCGGUUGAAUCCGUUUUUAUCCUUUGUACUGGAUGACAUGGUGCCUGAAUUCUUUCAUUUCGCCGACACGAUGGCAGCCAAACUGCAGCUUCAAACGCUCUCACUUGGCUGGGUUUCUACCUAGGUUGCCAGGUUAUCAUCGGAGCCUUCUUGUGUCCUCAGAGGGCCACAGGGCCUGAACGGAGGAUCAGAAUGCUACUGACUAAUUGGGCAGCCAUCUCGGAAUUGUUUGUGGGCAAAGAGCUGCUUUAGCACUUUUCUUUUAGCAAAUUAAUGACUCCCUGGCACCGAGGUUUUAAGUGAAGGUAUUAAUAAGAAGUCUGGCAGGUAUUCCCAUGAUUCACAGAGUUACAUUUGCAUUUAAUUUAUCUUAAAGAAAGUUGCAAGAUAAACAGCUGUAAUUCAGACAAACAUGGAAAAUACACUAAGUAGGGCCAUCUCGCCCGUAAAAUGAACACAGAGAUACUUGUUUUAAUUUUUUUCGAGAAAUAAAAAUACUUCUUACAAAACCA
rnacentral:lncRNA from 1 species